rnacentral:rRNA from 1 species
AAUCAACGCUGGCGGCGUGACCUAACACAUGCAAGUCGAACGAGAAAGGGGACUUCGGUCCCUGAGUACAGUGGCGCACGGGUGAGUAACACGUGACUUAUCUACCCUCGAGUGGGGAAUAACUUCGGGAAACCGAGGCUAAUACCGCAUAAUACCCACGGGUCAAAGGAGCAAUUCGCUUGAGGAGGAGGUCGCGGCCCGAUUAGUUAGUUGGCGGGGUAAUGGCCCCCACCAAGACGGUGAUCGGUAUCCGGCCUGAGAGGGCGCACGGACACACUGGAACUGAAACACGGUCCAGACUCCUACGGGAGGCAGCAGUGGGGAAUUUUGCGCAAUGGGGGAAACCCUGACGCAGCAACGCCGCGUGGAGGAUGAAGUCUCUUGGGACGUAAACUCCUUUCGAUCGGGACGAUUAUGACGGUACCGGAAGAAGAAGCCCCGGCUAACUUCGUG